rnacentral:rRNA from 1 species
CCUACGGGGGGCAGCAGUAGGGAAUAUUGCUCAAUGGGGGAAACCCUGAAGCAGCAACGCCGCGUGGAGGAUGAAGGUUUUCGGAUUGUAAACUCCUUUUGUUAGAGAAGAUAAUGACGGUAUCUAACGAAUAAGCACCGGCUAACUCCGUGCCAGCAGCCGCGGUAAUACGGAGGGUGCAAGCGUUAUUCGGAAUCACUGGGCGUAAAGAGCGCGUAGGCGGGAUAGCAAGUCAGAUGUGAAAUCCUAGGGCUUAACCAUAGAACUGCAUUUGAAACUGUUAUUCUAGAGUAUGGGAGAGGUAGGUGGAAUGCUUGGUGUAGGGGUAAAAUCCGUAGAGAUCAAGAGGAAUACUCAUUGCGAAGGCGACCUGCUAGAACAUAACUGACGCUGAUGCGCGAAAGCGUGGGGAGCAAACAGGAUUAGAUACCCUUGUAGUC